UACGUAGGGUGCGAGCGUUAAUCGGAAUUACUGGGCGUAAAGCGUGCGCAGGCGGUUCGUUGUGUCGGCGGUGAAAGCCCCGGGCUCAACCUGGGAAUGGCCGUUGAAACUGGGAGGCUGGAGUGCGGCAGAGGGGGGUGGAAUUCCACGUGUAGCAGUGAAAUGCGUAGAUAUGUGGAGGAACACCGAUGGCGAAGGCAGCCCCCUGGGCCUGCACUGACGCUCAUGCACGAAAGCGUGGGGAGCAAACAGG
rnacentral:rRNA from 1 species